GGAGCAGCAACGAUGUUACGCAGCAGGGCAGUCGCCCUAAAACAAAGUUAGGCCGCAUGGACACAACGCAGG
rfam:Kluyvera intermedia strain CAV1151 plasmid pCAV1151-83, complete sequence.